UGUGUACAUUGGGAUAUUCUUCAACUUUUCCCCAGCAUGUGAUAGCAGGUGAAAUGUAUAUCUGCGUGGGAAAGGACAAUUUAUUUCUUUUUUUCUUUUUCAUUUUGAAGUUCUUUACAAAUGUCUUGAAUAGCAGAUGCUCCACAUGGGAACUUUUGUGUUCAGCUCUGGUGAGUAUACAUGUAUUCUGGUCCACUUUUUCUGUGUUUUUCAGAAUGCGUUGGAAAGCAUGAGAUGAGAAAUGGAGCACACACGUAAUGUACAAUGGCAUGCAAUAUAGAAAAGUCCUGUGUGUUUUUUUUUAUUUUUACUUUUCAGAUAGAGGUUUUUCUUGAUGAUUUAGCCAUACUCUUUUAUGUCUGUUCAGUUUGCCCAUAUUGUCUGAAGUGAUGUAAAUCUUAGGAUUGUUUGUGUCUGCCUUUUCUUUUUUUUUUCACUUUAUUUUUCAGACUUAAACAUUCCUGGAGCCCCUUCUGCAUGUCCACAUUAUAAACAUUUUUACAACGUUCUGCUGUGAUGCACCUUUUUAAGUGAUGGCAAAUGAAAGUACUCAUUGGAGGGAAAGUUUGAUGCUUGGAUUUUUUGACAGAUGCCUUUACUAGUAGUCUCACACUAUACGGGAACUGAUUUUUUUUUUUCCAGUUAAAGCGAGUUUUCAGCAAUAUCUGUGAAUGCAGAAUUCUUAUUCGGGAGCAAUGGGAUGGUCGUGUUAUUCUUGGAAAAUCUAUUGCUUGUUGAAUCAACAUACUUAUGGAGAAAAAAAAAAA